rnacentral:lncRNA from 1 species
CCGUUGUCACGGCGACGCACCGUCGUCAUGUGUUUGUGCGCCUCAGGCCUCAUCAUCAAUCUGUCGGUGGAGCAGCCGUAACAAAUCAUGUGUCAGUCUUUGUGUUGACCAAUUAGUGAGAGAAGAGGCGGGUCAAACAGAUACAGAAGGAACGUAACCUACCGCGUGGAUGGAACGUGUUUGCAGCCGUUGGAGGGUUGCGAACAGUGCGUUUCAGACGCUCACGUCGCUGCUGUGACGCACUGAGAACGUGCUGCUGCUGUUGAAGCCUGUCCAGAGUUCAUGCACAGUUAGCGGGACAAACGGCCACCAACAAACAGUGAAGUCUCACAGAAUGAACAGGAGCUGAUGGACUGACUGUGAUAGUGAAUCCCAGUAAAAGGCUGCGGAGAGAAGAGGGAACACCCGCUCGAAAGCAACUCUGCCCGGUUUGUUCUGCUGCCAAAACGCCUGACGGAUGGGGCUCUGCAGGCGGGACGGGGAGCAUGCACGCACCCUGAACUGGUCCAACAUCAACUGCUUUCUGUUGAAGCUGCUGAGUGUUGGCUGUGGGUGAAGUCACUCAGAACCUCAUACACGUCCAGCAGCUCUAAUUCACUCAAGGACUGUUUCAUUGGCUGUGGAAACGUUGGCAGCAUCUGUAGCAGUUGGUGAACAUGGAGUGGAAGGAGCAGCACUUUAGAACGUACAGUAAAUGAAGUCCUGAGGACGACUGUGCUGUUUGUGAAGCAUUAUCGCCUUCUUCGCUGUUUU